GUGAGUCAUCGAAUCUUUGAACGCACAUUGCGCCCCUUGGUAUUCCGAGGGGCAUGCCUGUUCGAGCGUCAUUUCAACCCUCAAGCUCUGCUUGGUAUUGGGCUUCGCCGUCUCGCGGCGGGCCUUAAAAUUAGUGGCGGUGCCGUCUGGGCUCCUAGCGUAGUAGUAUUAUUCUCGCUCUGGAAACCUGGCGGUUGCUGGCCAGCAAACCCCAAAUUCUUUCUAUGGUUGACCUCGGAUCAGGUAGGGAUACCCGCUGAACUUAAGCAUAUCAAUAAGCGGAGGA
rnacentral:misc_RNA from 1 species